rnacentral:rRNA from 1 species
GGGGACCAUCCUCCAAGGCUAAAUACUCCUGACUGACCGAUAGUGAACCAGUACCGUGAGGGAAAGGCGAAAAGAACCCCGGCGAGGGGAGUGAAAAAGAACCUGAAACCGUGUACGUACAAGCAGUGGGAGCACGCUUAGGCGUGUGACUGCGUACCUUUUGUAUAAUGGGUCAGCGACUUAUAUUCUGUAGCAAGGUUAACCGAAUAGGGGAGCCGAAGGGAAACCGAGUCUUAACUGGGCGUUAAGUUGCAGGGUAUAGACCCGAAACCCGGUGAUCUAGCCAUGGGCAGGUUGAAGGUUGGGUAACACUAACUGGAGGACCGAACCGACUAAUGUUGAAAAAUUAGCGGAUGACUUGUGGCUGGGGGUGAAAGGCCAAUCAAACCGGGAGAUAGCUGGUUCUCCCCGAAAGCUAUUUAGGUAGCGCCUCGUGAAUUCAUCUCCGGGGGUAGAGCACUGUUUCGGCAAGGGGGUCAUCCCGACUUACCAACCCGAUGCAAACUGCGAAUACCGGAGAAUGUUAUCACGGGAGACACACGGCGGGUGCUAACGUCCGUCGUGAAGAGGGAAACAACCCAGACCGCCAGCUAAGGUCCCAAAGUCAUGGUUAAGUGGGA